rnacentral:sRNA from 1 species
CGCGCGGGGGGGGGGGGGGGGCUAAACAAGUGUGUUUGUGGUGAUUGUGGUCCUGAUAAACUUGCAGCAGGCCACCCCAGUUGUUAAAAACCAAGGAGAGCAAACUCAGGCUAAGGACAGCCCAGAGACAAUUCAGAAACAAAAUGCACUUUGAAGGAAGGCUUACAGCCUUUGAGUCUGCAAAUUAUUGUGGAUUCAAGGUAGAUACACCUUUAUU